rnacentral:lncRNA from 1 species
ACCCAAACCCCAUCCCUGUCCGGUCGCUCACCGGUGUGUUCAGAUCCACCCCAGGCUUGUGUCUGCUGUAGGUAACUAGGACAAAGCUAUCAAACAUAGCAGUCUGUUCUUUUUUUUGAAGCCACAAAAAAACUGAAGACUGCAUGUUGCCUUAUCAGCACUCCUGUAUUCACUUACACAUACACUCACACACAUAAAACUGAUCAAAACACAAAAACACACUCUUCUCAAGCUUUUUUCUUUGAGCCUUUCUCUCUCUGUCACACACACACACACACACACACACACACACACACACACACAUAUACAGUAUAUACACACACAAACAAAUGUCCCACAUACCUUUUUAUGUUGACAUCAAAGCAGGCAAGCUAAUUUUAUAAACUAUAUAAGUGAAAUAAAGAGUUUUGUUGAAAUCUAUGCCACUGAGUCAAUUUUGAUUUUGUGAGAAGGAUUGGAGGUGUC